CUGCUGUAAAGAGCCAUUGAUCAUUGGUUAAUAACAUCAAAAGGGCAUUCCCAAAAUGUUGCUCAGCUCCAACUUACUACACCCUCCGCUAGUUUGUAGAUUAUAGAUUAUAUAAGGUGAACCCAACAGACAUAGAAACAUUGAAUGGUGACAAGCCCAUACUUCGAAUAUACUCCAUUGACUACAACCCUCUGUUGCCUGUCCCUAAGCCACCGCCUUAC